CCUGGAUCAAAAGACGUAUUGUAAGAGAAAAACGCCGAUACAAAGGAUUGUUCUAGUAGAAGGUCAGCUGAAGGACCAGGUCAUGUGGUCCUCCCAUACUCAGUGACAUUAGUACAUCCCAGCCAUGGUGUAACAGAACUGACCAAUGAUAGAUGACCACAUGAUGAGCCCAGGGAUCAUAUCCCAGGGCUGGAUAUUAUUUACAUUCUGUAUGACUGAUCUGACAGCGAGGACGGACCCAGUUGAUUAAUUCUCACCAAGAUACAGGGCUGGAACCUCCCAGAUACACCCACACCAGGACUCGGCCCAAACCCAACACACCCAGACAUGCAGACUUCAGGAAAUCAAGGCUUAACCCACAGUACCUCCAUAAAGGGCAUUGUGUGUGAUGGGACAUACCAUGCGGCCGGGUCGUACUCAGCCCACACGCGGAUGAACUCGUCCAGGUGGUGGGGACCCAGGAUGGACGAAUCCCGGGUCAGGUAUUCAAAAUUAUCCAUGAUCACAGCCACAAACAGAUUCAGCAUCUGGGGGGAAAAAAAAGAGAGAUGAGAUA